rnacentral:rRNA from 1 species
UACGAAGGGGGCUAGCGUUGCUCGGAAUCACUGGGCGUAAAGGGUGCGUAGGCGGGUCUUAAGUCAGGGGUGAAAUCCUGGAGCUCAACUCCAGAACUGCCUUUGAUACUGAAGAUCUUGAGUUCGGGAGAGGUGAGUGGAACUGCGAGUGUAGAGGUGAAAUUCGUAGAUAUCGCAAGAACACCAGUGGCGAAGGCGCUACUGGCCCGAUA